GAUUAACGCUGGCGGCGUGGAUAAGACAUGCAAGUCGAACGAUGAACCCGGAGCUUGCUCCGGUGGAUUAGUGGCGAACGGGUGAGUAACACGUGAGUAACCUGCCCUUGACUCUGGGAUAACUGAGGGAAACAGUAGCUAAUACAGGACACGACCCUCGGAGCCCUCGCCAGGGGGCGCAACGAAUUUCGGUCAAGGAUGGACUCGCGGCCUAUGAGCUAGUUGGUGAGGUAACGGCUCAACAAGGCGACGACGGGUAGCCGGCCUGAGAGGGUGACCGGCCACACUGGGACUGAGACACGGCCCAGACGCCUACGGGAGGCAGCAGUGGGGAAUAUUGCACAAUGGGCGCAAGCCUGAUGCAGCAACGCCGCGUGAGGGAUGACGGCCUUCGGGUUGUAAACCUCUUUUAGUAGGGAAGAAGCGAAAGUGACGGUACCUGCAGAAAAAGCACCGGCUAACUACGUGCCAGCCGCCGCUGUAAAAC
rnacentral:rRNA from 1 species